rnacentral:rRNA from 1 species
GCAUAUCAAUAAGCGGAGGAAAAGAAACCAACCGGGAUUGCCUCAGUAACGGCGAGUGAAGCGGCAAGAGCUCAAAUUUGAAAGCUGGCCCCUCCGGGGUCCGCGUUGUAAUUUGCAGAGGAUGCUUUGGGUGCGGCCCCCGUCUAAGUGCCCUGGAACGGGCCGUCAGAGAGGGUGAGAAUCCCGUCUUGGGCGGGGUGUCCGUGCCCGUGUAAAGCUCCUUCGACGAGUCGAGUUGUUUGGGAAUGCAGCUCUAAAUGGGUGGUAAAUUUCAUCUAAAGCUAAAUACUGGCCGGAGACCGAUAGCGCACAAGUAGAGUGAUCGAAAGAUGAAAAGCACUUUGAAAAGAGAGUUAAACAGCACGUGAAAUUGUUGAAAGGGAAGCGCUUGCGACCAGACUCGCCCUCGGGGUUCAGCCGGCACUCGUGCCGGUGUACUUCCCCGGGGGCGGGCCAGCGUCAGCUUGGGCGGCCGGUCAAAGGCCUCCGGAAUGUAGUGCCCCCCGGGGCACCUUAUAGCCGGAGGUGCAAUGCGGCCAGCCUGGGCUGAGGAACGCGCUUCGGCACGGACGCUGGCAUAAUGGUCGCAAACGACCCGUCUUGAAACACGGACCAAGGAGUCUAACAUCUACGCGAGUGUUCGGGUGUCAAACCCGUACGCGCAGUGAAAGCAAACGGAGGUGGGAGCCCCCUCGCGGGGCGCACCAUCGACCGAUCCUGAUGUCUUCGGAUGGAUUUGAGUAAGAGCGUAAAUGUGGGGACCCGAAAGAUGGUGAACUAUGCCUGAAUAGGGGCGAAGCCAGAGGAAACUCUGGUGGAGGCUCGCAGCGGUUCUGACGUGCAAAUCGAUCGUCAAAUUUGGGUAUAGGGGCGAAAAGACUAAUCGAAACCAUCUAGUAGCUGGGUUCUGCGAAG